CGCGGCCUAUCAGCUUGUUGGUGAGGUAAUGGCUCACCAAGGCGACGACGGGUAGCCGGCCUGAGAGGGCGACCGGCCACACUGGGACUGAGACACGGCCCAGACUCCUACGGGAGGCAGCAGUGGGGAAUAUUGCACAAUGGGCGAAAGCCUGAUGCAGCGACGCCGCGUGAGGGAUGACGGCCUUCGGGUUGUAAACCUCUUUCAGCAGGGAAGAAGCGAAAGUGACGGUACCUGCAGAAGAAGCGCCGGCUAACUACGUGCCAGCAGCCGCGGUAAUACGUAGGGCGCAAGCGUUGUCCGGAAUUAUUGGGCGUAAAGAGCUCGUAGGCGGUCUGUCGCGUCGGAUGUGAAAGCCCGGGGCUUAACCCCGGGUCUGCAUUCGAUACGGGCAGACUAGAGUGUGGUAGGGGAGAUCGGAAUUCCUGGUGUAGCGGUGAAAUGCGCAGAUAUCAGGAGGAACACCGGUGGCGAAGGCGGAUCUCUGGGCCAUUACUGACGCUGAGGAGCGAAAGCGUGGGGAGCGAACAGGAUUAGAUACCCUGGUAGUCCACGCCGUAAACGGUGGGAACUAGGUGUUGGCGACAUUCCACGUCGUCGGUGCCGCAGCUAACGCAUUAAGUUCCCCGCCUGGGGAGUACGG
rnacentral:rRNA from 2 species